rnacentral:rRNA from 1 species
GCCAGCAGCUGUAUCUCCCUGCAGCGUACAGCUGGCAACCCACUGAAGCUCAGCAGGUGUGAGCCUCUUGGUACCAGGAUGGGAGACCUCCUGGGAAAGCUAAGGUUGCUGCUGGGA